CAUCUUUAAGCUUCUGUCUUGUACAUGUAUAUGAAAAUUGUCUUCCUUGAAACGAGCAAAUAAUGUUCCAAAUUCUUCCUUUGGAUAUUCAGAAUAUUUAACAUAUAGCCCAUUGAUGCUGCUGUUGAAGAUGACACCAAUUUCACUUACAACUUUUAGUGUUAUGAUCCUUAUAAUUUUUGAUAAAAAGUAUUAAGUAAAUUUCAAGCCAUAGAACUAAAAGAACUAAAUGUAAACUACAUACAAAGCCAGAACAUGAAAUUGAUUUUACCUGCCAUCAUAUAUAUUUAAAGCUAGACCAUGCCCUUGAGCAACUCCUUUGUCCUUUCCUCGACCAAAUUUCUUCCUUUUAAUAUGUGAAGCUGAUACAAAAUCAAAUAAGAUGUAAACUAGCCAUCAAUUUGAAUUUAAUUGUACAUUCAAAAUUAAAUUAUUACCUUCAUCAAUUGUAGUAAAAGAUGAAGCUUCAUCACCAAUUAUAGAAGCUGAUUCAGUAUCCCUGUUAUAUAUGCUAGCUUAAGACUUUCCUUUGCUAGCAACUAUGCCAUUUGAUCUUGUAAUUUCAGUCGUCUUUUC
rnacentral:lncRNA from 1 species